rnacentral:rRNA from 1 species
CUACGGGAGGCUCCAGUGGGGAAUAUUGGGCAAUGGGCGCAAGCCUGACCCAGCAACGCCGCGUGAGGGAAGAAUGUCUUCGGAUUGUAAACCUCUGUCCUUGGGGACGAAAAAAAUGACGGUACCCAAGGAGGAAGCUCCGGCUAACUACGUGCCAGCAGCCGCGGUAAUACGUAGGGACAAGCGUUGUCCGGAAUUAUUGGGCGUAAAGGGUGCGUAGGCGGCGCUGUAAGUCAGAUGUGAAAUCCCCGGGCUUAACUCGGGAGUUGCAUUUGAAACUACAGUGCUUGAGUAAAGAAGGGGUAAGUGGAAUUCCUAGUGUAGCGGUGGAAUGCGUAGAUAUUAGGAGGAACACCAGUGGCGAAGGCGACUUACUGGUCUUUUACUGACGCUGAGGCACGAAAGCGUGGGGAGCAAACAGGAUUAGAUACCCUGGUAGUC